rnacentral:rRNA from 1 species
GUAGGGAAUAUUGGGCAAUGGAGGCAACUCUGACCCAGCCAUGCCGCGUGCAGGAUGACGGCCCUCUGGGUUGUAAACUGCUUUUAUACGGGAAGAAAAAAUACUACGUGUAGUAUACUGACGGUACCGUAAGAAUAAGGAUCGGCUAACUCCGUGCCAGCAGCCGCUGUAAUACGGAGGAUCCAAGCGUUGUCCGGAUUUAUUGGGUUUAAAGGGUGCGUAGGCGGAUCUUUAAGUCAGUGGUGAAAGCCUGCAGCUUAACUGUAGAAUUGCCAUUGAAACUGAAGAUCUUGAAUGUGGUUAAAGUAGGCGGAAUGUAUCAUGUAGCGGUGAAAUGCUUAGAUAUGAUACAGAACACCGAUAGCGAAGGCAGCUUGCUGAACCAUUAUUGACGCUGAGGCACGAAAGCGUGGGGAGCGAACAGGAUUAGAAACCCGGGUAGUCC